CCGGAUUAGCUGAGAGGAGGUGCAUGGCCGUCGUCAGUUCGUACUGUGAAGCAUCCUGUUUAAGUCAGGCAACGAGCGAGACCCACGCCAACAGUUUGCUAGCUCGUCCUCCGGGAUGGAGAGGACACUGUUGGGACCGCCUCUGCUAAAGAGGAGGAAGGAAUGGGCAACGGUAGGUCAGCAUGCCCCGAAUUAUCUGGGCUACACGCGGGCUACAAUGGGUGGGACAAUGGGUAUCGACACCGAAAGGUGAAGGCAAUCUCCUAAACCCAUCCUUAGUUCGGAUUGUGGGCUGCAACUCGCCCACAUGAAGCUGGAAUCUGUAGUAAUCGUGUUUCAAAAUAGCACGGUGAAUAUGUCCCUGCUCCUU
rnacentral:rRNA from 1 species